UACGGAGGGUGCAAGCGUUAUCCGGAUUCACUGGGUUUAAAGGGUGCGUAGGAGGGCAGGUAAGUCAGUGGUGAAAUCUCCGAGCUUAACUCGGAAACUGCCGUUGAUACUAUCUGUCUUGAAUCCCGUGGAGAUGAGCGGAAUAUGUCAUGUAGCGGUGAAAUGCUUAGAUAUGACAUAGAACACCAAUUGCGAAGGCAGCUCGUUACACGAAGAUUGACUCUGAGGCACGAAAGCGUGGGGAUCAAACAGG
rnacentral:rRNA from 1 species